rnacentral:lncRNA from 1 species
CGGAGCGCCGCGAGUCCCUGCCCGCCCCCUCCUGCUCGCGCCGGGCGGGGGAGCGAGAGGCGCGGGGACUGGCAGCCGCGGACUCCUGAGAGCGUGGCCUGGCGUCCGCACAGGGUGGAAUUCGUAUUUGGCCAGGAAUCCGGACUCCGAUCAUCCCAGGAGACGCGGACCGGGGGCCUCCAGAGCUCUCCGGAGCGUGCUGCCGCUCCCCACCAGCCACCAGGGACUCGGAGGCCCUUCCUGGGUCCGGAGAAGCGACGGGGACACUUAGGGGAAAACUUUGCCAACUUCGCUCUUGGCGCGGAAGAGGCCGCUGGCCGGAAUGGUGCAGCAGCGGCGGCGGGCCGCGACGCGCAGGGUGGGCCCCGGGCCAGUGCUGGGCACCCUGGAGCGCGUCGGGAUGCCCAAAGUGGGGCGUGAGGCCGGUGGGCUCUUUGCUCCUCCGCUUCGCCCCUGCGCCUCCCGCGACCCGUCUCACUUCCCUGCGUCUCUGAGCGGCCCGAGAGGCGCAGCGCUCAGAGUGGCCUUGAUGGAAGAACCUGGCCCUCGGCGGGAACGAUUUUCUUUUGCUUUACCUCUUCUGGAUCAGCCGUUUUCCACCUGACUUGAGCAGCCCCCUCCCCCAUGCCUUUUUUUUCUCGUUCCCUCCGUCUGUCCUCACAAUUUCCUCUAUCUUCGAUUUCUAGAUCAUUCGCUUUUCUUCUCUUUCCUCCGCUUCCUCAUUGUGCUGUUUUUAUGCCUUUGCCCUGGACCACUUUUCAGUUCACUUUUCUCCCUUCUGCUCCCUCCCUCACCCCCUUCUUAAUGUCUCUUUUUUCCUCGCCCUGAGUCUGUGACUGUGUCCCUUUCCCCCAUCUGCAGUUGCCGUUUUUGAUUUUCUUUCUUUCCUCCCCACUUCCAUCCGGAUCCUCUCCUAUUUCCUCCUUGGAUUUCUGUCUCUCAGGUUCUGUCUCUCAGGUUCUCCUCUCCGUAAAUAUUCUCUCCUCUCCCUCUCCGGGAUCCGUCCCCUCCCCCACGUGGAUCUGCCUCCCCGGCGCCCCCUCCUCAUUCAUCCUGGGAGAUGAAUUUGUCGCCUUAUUGGACGCCGAGGCCAGAGCCGUGUGAGGGGGCUCGGCCAGCGCUGUGCAUUUUCUUCAUGCAUAUUGAGGAGAUGGUAAUGAGCGCGUUUGCAUUGUUGCUUGGAAAUGUUGUGUUUCCUGCCGCAGUUCGCAGUUCGGAGUGGGCGAGGGUGGUGUGGGCCCAGGACAGCCCCUCAGUAGGCACCCGGCCUGGCGGCCGCCGCUGACCCUCUCCGGAUUCCCGGGCUCUGGGGGCCGGGGGAGGAAGCGACCUUGCCGAGCUCCUGACCCGGCCGCCGCCUCCUCCUCCGGUUUGUCCACAAAGGCCGUCGCGCUCCCCUCAUUAAAGCCUCGUUACAGGAACCCCCGGCUGGCUCGCGACGGCUCCUCCGAGCCCCCCUGCCCACCGGCCUCUGAGCCCCUCCCCUGAUUUGAGAGGCCUGUGAUGGAGCGCCACCAGAAAAUUAGUGCCUGACAACGUCGUCUAUUGGCAAUAAAUUGAGAUUCCAAGUGACACGUCGCGGGAUCAAACACAGCCACAUUGUUGUGUACCCUGCUCCGCUCGCUCCUCGUUAAUCUUGGAGGGCGCCUUGGCAUCGCUUGGCCAGGGGAGGUUGUAGGCAGGCCUUUCGGCUGUCAGGACUCGGAUCCUGCCUCUGCCCUGGCUGAGCCCACUUCAGUCAUUCAGGAGGGACUGACUGCCCCUCCCUGAUAAGGUCCAAGGCGCUCAGGAGGCGUGACCCAGGAACGCCUUUCAAUAAGCUGAAGGUUUAUUAAAGUCAGGAGCUUCGAGGGGCAAACUCUGAGUUAAGCUUGUGGGGAAUCGACGUGAGCCUUGCUGGGAAUUCAGAACAUCAAGGUCUGGCCUUGUCUGGAAUUGUCUGGUGUCGAGUUUCCCAAACUUCAAGCUUCCCGCUACUACCUUUAUUAUUUACUUAACAUUUUUCCUUAAAUUGACUCAUUUUUAAAAUCAAAGUACAUAUUUUUGGAAAGAAAAUCUGAUACUACCACUGUAAAUUGAAAAGUAGCUGUUACUCACCAGAAAAGGAAGUGGUAAAAGAUAAACACAGCUAAAACCAAGCAAUGUUAAUACAUGUUAGCCGUUUUGCUGGCUUGGAAAGACUCCUAGAGGCUCAGGUGUGUGUGUGUCAUUAGCAAGUGUUGGAAGUGUUAAAUACUGAAUCUUUCUCGGAAGAAAUGAGACAAUUGAAAAGAGAAUGUUUCUCACUAUUCAAUGUUCAUUUAAUUCAGUGUUAAUUUAAUUCUCUGAUCCAAGACUGCACACUACCUAAAAUAAUGUUGACAACCUCAAGAGCUAGGACUGUUGAGGAGCGUAUAAAAAAAUUAAGAUUAGGCUGGGCGCGCGGUGUCUCACACCUGUAAUCCCAGCACUUUGGGAGGCCGAGGUGGGCGGAUCACCUGAGGUCAGGAGUUCGAGACCAGCCUGGCCAACAUAGUGAAACCCCAUCUCUACUAAAAAUACAAAAAUUAGCUGGGCAUGGUAGCAGGUGCCUGUAAUCCCAGCUUCUCAGGAGGCUGAGGCAGGAGAAUUGCUUGAGCCCAGGAAGUGGAGGUUGCAGUGAGCUGAGAUCGCGCCAUUGCACUCCAGCCUGGGGGACAAGAGCGAGACUUUGUCUCAAAAAAACAAAGAAAAAAGAAAAAAAAGAUUAAAAACAUAAUGUUGAUUUAUUAUUAUUUACCAAAUAAUUGUGUUAAGCAUUUUCAAACUGUAUCAUAUUUAAUUCUCACUAUAAGUCUACAAGCUAGAGGCUAUCCAGGGUGGCCAUGUGUGGUAGUACAGGAUGUUCAUUGAACAAGGGCACCGACGGGCUAAAAGGGUGUGAAGUCUAGCCCUGCUGUGUUCACCAAUAUGUGUACCUUGGCUUGGGGCCACACUGGAGGAACAGUACCUUUCUCUCAUGUACACAAAUUUUAUACAAAAUUGGCACAAAAUUGGGUUAUGACCUAACCCUAAUCUUAGAGAUGGGGAAACUGAGGCUUAGAGAGUUUUGCAAAGCCCAGGCUGAAAUCCUGUCUGAUAUUUUUAACUAUGAUCCCUUUGGGAGGGAGAGCAGUCCUUUUGGGGGCUUGGGAGGAGAUGAUGAGAGUUUGGGGGAGAGAUGCUGAAAGACUAGUCCCUGGUUUGACUGAAGGAAAGGGGCGAUCAGGCUGCCCAACUUUACCUCCCCCUGAAUCUUCACACUUCCCACAAAUAUUGGGGAAGAUUUGGGCAAAAAUACAACUGGGGUCAAGGAUCCAUUAUCCCUGCUAAUGACUAGGUUGAGGGAGAGGAAAAAGGUGUUCUGGUCUGCUUAGGCCUAACUCUGGAUGUCUGGAACUGUUUCUUGACUUUGUUGUUUUUGUUCAGCUUACCUGCAUGAGUCUAUGCACCAGAGUUCUGUCUUGUUCUCAUUUACACUGUUUGGAAAUUUCAGAUUCUUAAAGACAAACUGACAGAUUGCAGUGCACCAGCGGUUGUGAAUCAGUGAUUGCCUCUGAUCACAGGCUCUUUUUUUUUUUUUGGUUUGGCCUCCAUAGUGGCCUUUCCCCCCCCUUUUUGAUUGAAUUGCUUGCUAACACUUGCUACUUAGGUGAUUUCAUUUAAAAAUCUAGGCCUUAGGGUUUGUUUAAAAAAUUGGAAGGCUAAGAAAUACAAGACUUCUUUAUGAGAACAAAUACCCAGAUUUCAUAGCUGCUGCCCUUCUACCUGGACACACUCUAGUUUGCUCCAGUCCCCAUCUGGCCCACGUCUCUCAAUUGCUUUCAGGCAGCUGAAUUUGUUAUCCCUACUUUGUAUCAUCAGCUGUGAUAAUGGGACAUGCUUGCAAGUAGACACUGUCCUCCAAUGUGAGGGACCUAGCACAUGCUAGGUCAGCAUGGCAAGUGACUCUUCUCUCUGCCAUGCUUCUGGUUAGCUGGGCAGCUGCUUUGCCAUGGUGGGGUAAGGGUGAGGGUAGGUGUCUAAGAGUGACAGGAAUGAAUAGUCCUGACUCCCCGGAGACUAUCCAGGUAUCACAGCUGGGCCUAUUCUCAAGCUCCUGGGAAGAGAAUGGGAAGAAAGAUCCUGCAACAGGAAUUAGGAGGAAGCCCCAACUUUUUCUUGAUUCCCCCACACCUUAGGCCCAGCCCUCCCUUGAGUCCCAUGCACCAUCUUAAACAUGUCAAGCCAGAAAAGCUGCAUUUUCCCUUCUUUUCUCCCUCUCUCCUUUUUUCUUUGCAACACGUAUUUACAGAGUGCCUUCCAUGUGCCAAGGAGCAGUGCUAAGUGCUGGGGAUAGAGUGGUGAAUUAGAGAAGUACCUUGUUGUAAUAGAGCUUAGAUUUUAGUGGGGCAAUUAGAUACUGAAAAGGGACACACACAGGACAGCUGAAGAUAGCGUUACAUUCUACAAAACAAACAAUAACACACCGUGUACUGGUUGGGAUAGCGUCCUCCCCAGAUUCAAGUCCUUCCCAGAACCUCAGGGUGUGAUCUGAUUUAAAAACACGGCCAUUGCAGAUGCUGAAGUUUCAUCUCAUGCUUGAGUGAGGUGGACUCUUAAUCCAAUAUGACUAGUGUCCUUCUAAGAAGAGAAAAGAUACAGAGACUGUGACCCAAGGGAGAAGACAGCCACCUGAAGACAGAGGCAAAGAUUGGAGUGAUGCGGCUAUAAUCCAAAGAAUGCAAGGGGUUGCUGGCAGCCACCGGAAGCUGACAGGGGGUGGGAAAGGCUUCUCCCCUAGUGGCUUCAGAGGGACCAGAAUGCUGUCAAUACCUUGAUUGCAGAUUCUGGCCUCCAGAACUGCAAGAUAGUGAACCUCUGUUGUUUUAAGCCACCUAGUUUGUGGUAAUUUCUUAUAGCAGCUCUGGGAAACAAAUGCCCAAGAUGACGUGAGAGGAGGCAGGAGGGCCGCAGCUUUAGAUAAAUGGCACAAUCACAGGAGGCAUUUGUGAGGAGGUAACAAUUUAGUGGAAGUGGAACAAGUCACGAAAAACCUGGGGAAAGUGUAUUUUAGAGCUGCUAUGUCCAGUGCAGUAGCCACUAGCCAUAUGUGGCCAUGGAGCCCUUGAAAUGCAACUGGUCCAGACUGAGAUAUGCCAAACAUGUGAAAUACACACCAGAUUUCAAAGGCUUGGGAAGAACAGAAAUAAUGUAAAAUAUCUUUAUUUUAUUUUAUUUUAUUUUAUUUUACUUUUUUGAGACAGAAUCUUGCUCUGUUGCCCAGGCUGGAGUGCAGUGGUAUGAUCUUGGUUCACUGCAACAUCCACCUCCCGGGUUCAAGCAAUUCUCCUGCCUCAGUCUCUUGAGUAGAGUAGCUGGGACUACAGGCUCCUGCCACCAUGUCCAGCUAAUUUUUGUAUUUUUAGUAGUGAUGGGGUUUCACCAUGUUGGCCAAGCUGGUCUCGAACUCCUGACAUCAAGUGAUCCGUCCACCUCGGCUUCCCAAAGUGCUAGGAUUACAGGUGUGAGCCACUGUGCCUGGCCUCUUUUAAUUAAUUUUAAAAUAUUGAUUACACAUGGAGAUGAUUGCAUGAUGUGUUAGUCUACUUGCAUUGCUAUAAAGGAAUACCUGAGACUGAGUAAUUUAUCAAGAAAAGAGGUUUAUUUUGGCUCAUGGUUCUACAAACUGUAUAGAAAGCAUGGUGUCAACAUCUGCUUCUGGUGAGGGCUGCAGGAAGAUUACAAUCAUGGUGGAAGGCAAAGGGGGAGCAAGCACAUCAGAUGGUGAGAGAGGAGCAGUAAAGUGAGGAAGUUCCAG